UAUUGGUUUGUGGAUUUCACAAAAUCUGAAGCGUUUUCACUAUGAUUUCAGAUUAAUUUUCAAAGUAUCAGCUUCUCCGAAACUUCUCUCCCACAAAUACUCAAAUCACCCAAACUGAAGGCUGUGUGAAGAUGUCCUACACAUGGGUCCCUGCCGCCUAAGACCAGGCAGGAGGAGAUCAGAUUAUUUAUGAAAUAGAACAGGCUCAUCUGAGGAAGAGAAGGGUAUGAAAAGCCUGGGGCAGCAGAGACCUGUUUCCCGCUUUAUGACGUGUCUGGCAGACCUUAGGAUGCAGGACCCCUCAUCCAGGAACCAGAGGAGACACAGCCUCUGGGGCCCAUCCAGGGUGUCUGGUACCAAGGAGAAGAGGAAUUCCUGCAGGACUGUGCUGUUGAGACAGCUGUCUCCCCUCCUCAGUGACACCUGAUUACAACUGGCCCAUGUGAUGUAUAAUUGUAU